rnacentral:rRNA from 1 species
GACAGAGGGUGCAACCGUUGUUCGGAUUUACUGGGCGUAAAGGGCGCGUAGGCGGCCACCGCAAGUCGACUGUGAAAUCUCCGGGCUUAACCCGGAAAGGUCAGCCGAUACUGCGGGGCUAGAGUGCAGAAGGGGCAACUGGAAUUCUCGGUGUAGCGGUGAAAUGCGUAGAUAUCGAGAGGAACACCUGCGGCGAAGGCGGGUUGCUGGGCUGACACUGACGCUGAGGCGCGAAAGCUAGGGGAGCGAACGGG